AUUCCACUCAGAUGUAAUUGUGGCUAGUACCUGAAAAGAGGGAGAAAGUGAGUUAAGUCCCGAGCUAGUUCGUGCCUGCCGAACCACCUGAGAGAAGAAAGGCAUGGUUCCCUCCGCACCGAGCGCUUCGUGAGUCAUUAGUGGUGACUGAACCUGCUUCACUUGCUUCUUUGGGGAACGUGAGUCGGCUCACCUCGUGGGUCAAGUCGGAGGGAGGUGGCGGAUGUGGUGGUUGUGGGGACGGCAACACAGUCGACGGCAGAGACAAGUGCGCCGCACGCACGUGUGGUGCACGAGGCCACUGAACACCAACUUAUGAACUCACUAAUAGAUCAUGUUAUUAAGUUAGAGAAGGUCAAUUGCAGGCUGCAGGACAGAAUUUGUAAGUUGGAGAAGUGUCAAGAAAGACAGCAGAUGUCCGAGAAAGAAAAUACGGAUGAAACAAUGGAUCGGGGUAGUCCUCUAGUGGCUCUGCGCAAUUAUCAGCAUUUUUUUCUGCCUGCAGGAGAGGAUGUUAGAAGGUUGUCUGUUUAUGUUAUGAAUAAUAUACCAGUCGAGUUGGUAUCAUCUCUUGGUAAAUAUGGGGGAUAGAAUAUAUAGCAGUAAGACUCAUGACUGGUACAGAAUUCAUUAAUGUGGUAAAUGUGUAUGUGCACCAGAACUCCUUGAGCUUAGAGCACUUUCCGAUGCAAUGUUUUAUGAGCCUACAUUGUUGGUUGGAGACAUUAAUGCUAGACAUGAUGCUCUUGAUCCCCCUGGAGGCAGGAAUUGGAAUGAAAUUGUCUGGCACAAAUUUCUUAACGACUGUGAUGAUGCGUGUUUGCUUGGGGAUGACUUAUCCACUCAUAUAAAGGGAGGGAGGCUAGACUAUGUGUGUUUGCUGAAUACACGCGGGAUGGAAGGCAAAUGUAAGGUUGUCUCUGAAAUGCUAAGUGAAGGGAUACCACUUAGUAUAUACCAUUUGUCUGCCACAGAAGAGUGAAAUACAGAAUUACAAAUACAAAAAGGGAACAUUUUAUUCAGCACAUUGCUCAUUGGUAUAACACAUAUCAUGCAUAGGAUAUAAACAUAUUUUACGAGGAUUUAUUAGAAUAAAUAGCUAAAAUUGUCGACAAGAAUGUGGUGGAGCGUAAGAGAAUUUUAGGGCUACGAAGAGAUUACACCAUAGAUGGGCAGCUCCGAGCUUGUAAUCAUACGUUAAAGCAGGCAUAUCAGGAGUGGAUUACGUUUAGUAAAAGUGAGGAGGCUAGAGUUGCAUUGCAGGAAGUAACGAAGGCAUGUACUGUAGCUCGACGAGAAGCAAGGGAGAAGUAUUGGAAAAUCUUUUUGGAAAAUAUUGCUGCAACACUAUCCACAAAAGAAAUAUGGAACAAAGUAAAUAAAGUGAGAGGGGUGCGUAGAGGUAUGAGGGUAGUGAGGGGCUCACAGAAAGUAGCAGAUGAUUUGACAUAGAUGGGCACAUGCAGGUAGCAUAUCACCUUUACCAGAGAUGGUUAUCAGGGAGUUACGGAAUCACGAGGACAAGAGGAAUGACUUAAUUUUUACCUGUAUUAACAGACGUGAUUCAUCGUGUGUUGCUAUAACAAGGGAAGAAUUACUGGCAAAAGUUAAAAAAGAUGUAUCCACUGCACCCGGUGCUGAUGGAAUUACAUAUAUCAAGUAUCAGGAAGGGCUCCUUAAUAGAUUUAUUCAACAUGAGUUUCAGUUCAAGGAGGCUGCCAAGGAAAUGUAAGGUAGCUGUUGUUUUCCAGUCCCUAAAAGGCAACGGAAGUUGCCGCUUUCCAAUAAAAUGUAUGGUUUUUGUCAAAGGGAAAAAACACGUCAGACUGUAUUAUUUCUUGUUUGUUAAAUUCUAAAGAUGAA